rnacentral:tRNA from 54 species
GGGGCUAUAGCGCAGCUGGUAGCGCAUCUGCUUUGCAAGCAGAGGGUCGCCGGUUCGAACCCGGCUAGCUCCAC